GAUGAACGCUGGCGGCGUGCCUAAUACAUGCAAGUCGAGCGAACAGACGAGGAGCUUGCUCCUCUGACGUUAGCGGCGGACGGGUGAGUAACACGUGGAUAACCUACCUAUAAGACUGGGAUAACUUCGGGAAACCGGAGCUAAUACCGGAUAAUAUAUUGAACCGCAUGGUUCAAUAGUGAAAGACGGUUUUGCUGUCACUUAUAGAUGGAUCCGCGCCGCAUUAGCUAGUUGGUAAGGUAACGGCUUACCAAGGCGACGAUGCGUAGCCGACCUGAGAGGGUGAUCGGCCACACUGGAACUGAGACACGGUCCAGACUCCUACGGGAGGCAGCAGUAGGGAAUCUUCCGCAAUGGGCGAAAGCCUGACGGAGCAACGCCGCGUGAGCGAUGAAGGUCUUCGGAUCGUAAAACUCUGUUAUUAGGGAAGAACAAAUGUGUAAGUAACGAUGCACGUCUUGACGGUACCUAAGCAGAAAGCCACGGCUAACUACGU
rnacentral:rRNA from 1 species